GUGGGCCUUUGUGAGCAAUGGAGUCUGCGAGGAGCCAGGAUCCUGCUCAGAUGAGGGUUGCUAUGCUUACCCUGACGAGAAUAGAUACCCCCAGCGGAAAAGGAGGAGGAUCAGUGCCGAGAUUACAGGUGUGGCCCUGAUCCUGGGAAGCAGGAGGUCAAGUCUGGACGUGAGUCUUUGUAGACAUAAUGAAGCUGAUUCCAAGUGACUGAGGUGAGACCACCCUGGGUCAUCCAGGAGGGACCCGGAAAGAUAAACAGUGUCCUGAUAGAUUCAGAAAAGGGGAAGAGAGACAGCCUGGUGACCACGGAGGAAGAAACUGGGCAGCUCGGCCACAGACUGGGAGGGGUGGACUGCAGAGAGCACCAGUAGCCGGAAGAGGGCAGGUGAACCCUUGCUGGAGACCCAAGGCAGCAUCUGUCACUCGGUGACGUGGGCUUUCUUGCCCAUGCUGCUCAAGGUCAAAUUCUUGCUGUUGCAGCUCAGGGUACUGUAUUUGCCCAAACCCACGGCCAGCCAGCAGCCGCCACGCACCACAGGAUGCCAAUAUCUAGCCCAAUGGGUCCUGCUGAGUGCUGUCCUGUAUUUCAGCAAACAAAAAAUCCAGCAGACCUCAAGUUCUUGGGUAAAAUCACAUGGUAGCCUUGAGACACAGGGGUACAGAAAAGACGUCUCUGGCUUUGCCUGGAAAGCCCAGGCCUGCCCAGCAAAGUCUAAAUGUCCCUGACAGUUUCUUGUUCUUUAUCCUUUUGCUUCAUUGUGAUCACGGCAUGUCAAUACCUCUCCAAAUGGUCUUAAUGAAGGUGGAUAGAUCCUUGGAGAGGGCAGCACCCAUGCUCCGGGCCACACAGGGUGGAAUCUGGUUAUGCUGGACAUGCAGGGAAGGUGACUGAAAGGUGGCUCGCAUCCACUGAAAGCUUCUUCAGCGUUGGGCUUUUGGGGACAGAGUGACUCGUUCAUUGGGACUGCAUACACCAGAAGGCUUCCUCAGAGUGUGUGGAUCACUGUCCUCCUGGCUGGUGGCCCUCUAUGGGUUUUCCCUUCCUCCUGUCCAUCACUGGGCUGUGUCUAGCAGAACAACUCAGGAGUUGUGGAGAUGGAGUGAUCCUGCUUGUUGCCGAGGCAACCAGGGCUACUGGACUCCUUGACCUACCAAAUGGCUCAACCAAUCCUGGGGCUCUACAGGCAGCAGGCAUUUGGUCACAGCAACCGAAAGUUAAUCCACUGUACAUGUGAAGAGAAGGAACGCUCUCUGAGCCAAGUGCUUGGAGCUGUUAGAAGUCUGGACAGCUGGCACCCUCUCGUCACCAGAACAGGCAAGGAAUCUAGAAGCAGCCAGCUAUGAGGCACCAGCCAGGAGAAAGAGGCUUUGUCUUGAUGACAUUGGCUUGGCUCCUGGAUUUUGCCAUACCUGAAGUUCACACUACCCCUGGGCACCAGGAGAGCCUUCUUUUCUGAUUUAUGCUGUUCCUAGUUGGGGUGUCUGCUAUCUGAAGCUACUGAAUGAGCCCUGAUUAUUGCAGACACCAUUUUUAAAAGACAUUUUUAGAGGGUUUUUUUUUCUGAGACAGGGUUUCUCUGUGGUUUUGGAGACUGUCCUGGAAAUAGCUAGUCAAGUGCUGGGAUUAAAGGCA